AGUUAACGUUGGCGGCGUGCCUAACACAUGCAAGUCGAACGCGUCCUAAGGGCAACUUUAGGAUGAGUGGCGAACGGGUGAGUAUCACGUGGGUAAUCUUCCUUUAAGUGGGGAAUAAGCUCUCGAAAGGGAGUCUAAUACCGCAUGACAUUCCGGGACACAAGUCCCGUAAUCAAAGCCGCAAGGCGCUUGAAGAUGAGCCUGCGUCCUAUUAGCUAGUUGGUGGGGUAACGGCCUACCAAGGCUCAGAUGGGUAGCCGGCCUGAGAGGGUGAACGGCCACACUGGGACUGAGACACGGCCCAGACUCCUACGGGAGGCAGCAGUGAGGAAUUUUGCGCAAUGGGGGAAACCCUGACGCAGCGACGCCGCGUGGAGGAUGAAGGCCUUCGGUCGUAAACUCCUGUCAGAGGUGAAGAAUGCCGCAAGGUUGACGGUAACCUCAGAGGAAGCCCGGCUAACUACGUG
rnacentral:rRNA from 1 species